UACGUAGGGUGCGAGCGUUGUCCGGAAUUACUGGGCGUAAAGAGCUCGUAGGUGGUUUGUCGCGUUGUUCGUGAAAUCUCACGGCUUAACUGUGAGCGUGCGGGCGAUACGGGCAGACUUGAGUACUGCAGGGGAGACUGGAAUUCCUGGUGUAGCGGUGAAAUGCGCAGAUAUCAGGAGGAACACCGGUGGCGAAGGCGGAUCUCUGGGCCAUUACUGACGCUGAGGAGCGAAAGCGUGGGGAGCGAACAGG
rnacentral:rRNA from 1 species